rnacentral:lncRNA from 1 species
CAUUAUGAACGUUUAUAAUUGUAUUGUUGAUUUGGUCUUUAGGCCUUUCCCCCUUAAAUUGAUUUAAACCUAUAUGAAUAUGUAUGAUGUUGAGGAUUUGAUUGAGAGCAUUAUAAUUGAAAUCCCUCUCUUUGAUUAUUUAGAGUUGAUGAUCUUGUUGGGAAUGAUUUAAAAUGCUUGUUUAAUGUUUUGAAGGGGAUCUUUACAAUAUUUAAGUAUUUAGCAUGAUUUUGAUGAUGAUGAAAGGGAGUUUCUUGGUAUGAUUUCGUUCUCGUCAUAAAAAAGAAAUAAUUGCAUGUGUUGACAUUUUUGACAUGACCACCUUGUGUAUUUGAAUGUUGAAAAAGAGAGGUUCUUGCAUAUGUUGAUGUAAUACCCUGGGAAAUUUUUCAUUGAAAUUUUAUGCGUAAACGUAUUCGGUUCUAUCUUCUAGAAUGAAUUAUAAAUUUUUCGUGUGGAAUGUCUUUGAUUAUGACCCACCAUUACGUAGAGUAUCGAAUAAGCUUUCCAAUGAUAUGUGGAUCAUCCAAAACGAACACCCGAGCGACGAGUUAUGAACACUCCGAUCGAACCGUGAAUAGAAGUG